GAUGAACGCUGGCGGUGUGCCUAAUACAUGCAAGUCGAGCGAAUGACGAGGAGCUUGCUCCUCUGAUUUAGCGGCGGACGGGUGAGUAACACGUGGGUAACCUGCCUGUAAGACGGGGAUAACUCCGGGAAACCGGAGCUAAUACCGGAUGAUAACGAGAAGCGCCUGCUUCUUUUUUGAAAGUCGGUUUCGGCUGACGCUUACAGAUGGGCCCGCGGCGCAUUAGCUAGUUGGUGAGGUAACGGCUCACCAAGGCGACGAUGCGUAGCCGACCUGAGAGGGGGAUCGGCCACACUGGGACUGAGACACGGCCCAGACUCCUACGGGAGGCAGCAGUAGGGAAUCUUCGGCAAUGGACGAAAGUCUGACCGAGCAACGCCGCGUGAGCGAUGAAGGCCUUCGGGUCGUAAAGCUCUGUUGUCAGAGAAGAACAAGUACCGGAGUAACUGCCGGUACCUUGACGGUACCUGACCAGAAAGCCACGGCUAACUACGUGCCAGCCGCCGCCGUAAAAC
rnacentral:rRNA from 1 species